rnacentral:tRNA from 1 species
CGCAGAGUGGGGUAGCGGUCAACCCGCCGGGCUCAUAACUCGGAGAAUCGCCAGUUCGAAUCUGGCCUCUGCAACGA